UACGGGAGGCAGCAGUGGGGAAUAUUGCACAAUGGGCGCAAGCCUGAUGCAGCCAUGCCGCGUGUAUGAAGAAGGCCUUCGGGUUGUAAAGUACUUUCAGUCGUGAGGAAGGUGUUAAGGUUAAUAACCUUAGCAAUUGACGUUAGCGACAGAAGAAGCACCGGCUAACUCCGUGCCAGCAGCCGCGGUAAUACGGAGGGUGCGAGCGUUAAUCGGAAUUACUGGGCGUAAAGGGCACGCAGGCGGUUAAUUAAGUUGGAUGUGAAUCCCCGGGCUUAACCUGGGAAUGGCAUUCAAGACUGGUUAGCUAGAGUCUUGUAGAGGGGGUAGAAUUCCAUGUGUAGCGGUGAAAUGCGUAGAGAUGUGGAGGAAUACCGGGUGGCGAAGGCGGCCCCUGGGACAAAGACUGACGCUCAUGUGCGAAAGCGUGGGGAGCAAACAGGGAUUAGAUACC
rnacentral:rRNA from 1 species